rnacentral:rRNA from 1 species
CGAUCUAACCCAUUCGGCGGAGCGAAAGCGAACUGAGUGUCUCGCAAUAUUCUAAUCGGACGAUGGCUCGUCGGUUUAAAGCCGGGCAACCAGUUGCCGGCCCGCAGCCCGCAGUCCAGGGGUGGCCCGGUCGACGAGUUCGGCGCGCGGUCGCACCCCCAGAGCGCACACGUUGGGACCCGAAAGAUGGUGAACUAUGCCUGGCCAGGACGAAGACAGGGGAAACUCUGGUGGAGGUCCGAAGCGCUUCUGACGUGCAGAUCGAUCGCCAGAGCUGGGCAUAGCGGCGAAAGACCAAUCGAACCAUCUAGUAGCUGGCUCCCUCCGAAGUUUCCCUCAGGAUAGCUGACACAAACAUGGAUCGCACAGGAGUCUCAUCUGGUCAAGCGAAUGAUUAGAGGACCUUGGGGCCGAAACGGCCUCAACCUAUUCUCAAACUUUAAAUUGGUGAGAUUGACGGCUUGCCUGAACAUGUGCAGGCACAGAGUACCGUUGCAAAUACAGGUCUACGGACCGAGAGGACACGAAGCCGCCAACCAAAGAGAAUAUAUAUGAGAAAAAAAAGUGCUGGGGAUAGACCCCACGCACCAAAGAGACUAUAAAUAUAAAGAAACGUGGAUCAUGUGUGUCUAGUGGGCCAUUUUUGGUAAGCAGAACUGGCGCCGUGGGAUGAA